UACGUAGGGCGCAAGCGUUGUCCGGAAUUAUUGGGCGUAAAGAGCUCGUAGGUGGCUUGUCGCGUCUGCCGUGAAAGCCCAUGGCUUAACUGUGGGUCUGCGGUGGAUACGGGCAGGCUGGAGGCUGGUAGGGGCAGGCGGAAUUCCUGGUGUAGCGGUGAAAUGCGCAGAUAUCAGGAGGAACACCGGUGGCGAAGGCGGCUUGCUGGGCCAGUUCUGACGCUGAGGAGCGAAAGCGUGGGGAGCGAACAGG
rnacentral:rRNA from 1 species